CCAGAUCAACAGUUUGUUGAGGAAAGCUUUGAAUUCAGUUGAUGCCUAUUCUUGCUGUGAAGAGGAGCAAUCUGAACUGAAGGGGAGAACAGACUCCAAAGAAGAGUAGAUGUGAUGACACCAAGAAAGAGCAGCCACAUAUUACCUCGAGAGGUUAACCGGAAUGCAAAUCAACAGAAUAUGAUGCUGACCAAGUACCAGGAAGAGGUGUCCCCAUCACUGUAGA